UGAGGAAUCUUGCGCAAUGGGCGAAAGCCUGACGCAGCCACGCCGCGUGGAGGAAGACACCCCUAUGGGGCGUAAACUCCUUUUGUAUGGGAAGAAUCCCCUGCUCGGCAGGGAUUGACGGUACCAUACGAAUAAGCACCGGCUAACUCCGUGCCAGCAGCCGCGGUAAUACGGAGGGUGCAAGCGUUGUCCGGAAUCACUGGGUGUAAAGGGUGUGUAGGCGGGGCUGUAAGUCAGGGGUGAAAGCCCACGGCUCAACCGUGGAAUUGCCUUUGAUACUGCAGCUCUUGAGUCCCGGAGGGGUGGCUGGAAUUCGUGGUGUAGCGGUGAAAUGCGUAGAUAUCACGAGGAACACCAGAGGUGUAGACGGGUCACUGGACGGGUACUGACGCUGAGGCACGAAAGCGUGGGGAGCAAACAGG
rnacentral:rRNA from 1 species